CUAUGCUUGUGCCCUUACUCCA
rnacentral:piRNA from 1 species